GCAGCCUGGCUGCCUCUGAUCCCGCCAGGCCGGGACCUGUCCUCCUCCUGGGCGACCAGCCGGGGGAAUGCACUCUGCCCGGUGGCCUGCACAGCCCCUGACCGCCCAUCCCUCUGGCGCCUCCGCCCCAGGCCAGGACCUUCCUGUAGCACAGAACCCACCUUCCUUCCCGCCGCAGAGCUGCUCCGCUUCCGCCACCCACAGGGAAAAACUCAGAUCUCCAAACAAACAGAAAUCCACGUGUGACUCCUCUGGUUGGAUACUGCCAGUCCCCACAUUUACUUCCAGGAGUUUUCUUGGCAGAAGGUGUCCAGAUCAGGGUUAAUUGUAGCUAUUUGAAAAUGUAGCAAUAUUCUGGCUGGGCAUGGUGGCUUAUGCCUGUAAUCCAGCUCUUUGGGAGGCCAAGGUGGGCAGAUCACCUGAGGUCACGGGUUCAAGACCAGCCUGGCCAAUGUGGUGAAACACUGUCUCUAAUAAAAACACAAAAAUUAGUUGAGGAUGAUGGCAGAUGCCUGUAAUCCCAGCUGCUCAGGAGGCUGAGGCAGGAAAAUUGCUUGAACCUGGGAGGUGGAGGUUGCAGUGAGCCCAGAAUGUGCCAUUGCAUUCCAGCCUGGGUAACCAAGACAGACUUCAUCAAAAAACAAACAAACAAAAAGGAGCAAUAUUCUGUGUAAUUGUUGACAGCUUAAUUCACUAUUAUGUGGAUCAGAGAGCAGAGGAUUCUGAAUGCAUGAACAUAUCUUUAACAUUUCAAUACAUUACUCAUAAUUACUAAUGAACUAAAGAGAAAGCAAGAAAUUAUGGUGAUAGUUAUAUUGACCUGGAGAAAUGUAGACAUAAAAGAACAGUAAGAUGAGAAAUGUGUUCACACGGUCUGUAAGAGCACACAAGAAUAAAAAUAGGGAAGAAAACAUGAGAGUUUUCAACAGAUUUCUGGUCAUGUAAGUCAAUUUGUAUCAGUUAAUUUUUAAAAGGUUUAUUUACAUGCAAUAAACUGCACAUACUUCAAUUGUACAUUUUGAUUAUUCUUGGUAUUUGUAGCUCUAUAAAACCAACAACAUAUUCAAAUAAAAAGCAUAUCCAUUACCUUUACCACCAAAGUUUUCUUGUGUUUUUGCUACUCACUUUCUCUUGC
rnacentral:lncRNA from 1 species